rnacentral:rRNA from 1 species
AGUGAACGCUGGCGGUAGGCCUAACACAUGCAAGUCGAACGGCAGCACAGUAAGAGCUUGCUCUUACGGGUGGCGAGUGGCGGACGGGUGAGGAAUACAUCGGAAUCUACUUUUUCGUGGGGGAUAACGUAGGGAAACUUACGCUAAUACCGCAUACGACCUACGGGUGAAAGCAGGGGAUCUUCGGACCUUGCGCGAUUGAAUGAGACGAUGUCGGAUUAGCUAGUUGGCGGGGUAAAGGCCCACCAAGGCGACGAGCCGUAGCUGGUCUGAGAGGAUGAUCAGCCACACUGGAACUGAGACACGGUCCAGACUCCUACGGGAGGCAGCAGUGGGGAAUAUUGGACAAAGGGCGAAAGCCUGAUCCAGCCAUACCGCGUGGGUGAAGAAGGCCUUCGGGUUGUAAAGCCCUUUUGUUGGGAAAGAAAAGCAGCAGGUUAAUACCCCGCUGUUCUGACGGUACCCAAAGAGUAAGCACCGGCUAACUUCGUG